CCUAAGUCUCCUGCACUCAGACACCGUGUCUGGCCCUCACAGUGCCCGGCACAGGGGCUGGCACACGGUGGGCACUUAAGGUCUGGCCCGUGCUCCCACUCGCCCCAUCUCUUUGAUAACGUCAUUAUUUUGGAAUUCAUGGUUUUCGGCCCAGUAAAACCUGUUUUGCUGGCAUCAGGCUGAUUUCCCUCACUCCCGAGGGAUCCCGUGCCCCCUCCCGGAGCCUGGCAGGCCUGGCGGUUUGCAGACCGGCAGGUGUCGGUGGUGAUCCUCCCUGAUUCGUGUUCCUGCCGCACCACGUUUCAGCUCACGUAGCUUCACUGCAGCCUGGCUUUUCUGAACUUCCCUGUUGAAGACACCAACGAAGGGAAGAGAGCAGAGGGUGGGAAUUUUAAUAAAGGGAACGGGGCCCAAUUGAAGAGCUCUUUGCGCCAAUGCCUCGUGAAAGCCUGAAAGCCGUUGGGGACAGAAAGAGGAGUCGGGCCUCUUAACUCCCUCAAGUGUGUAUCGGAAGGGGGCAGGGGCGCGCAGAAGGCAGCCGUUGCAAAGCCUGGCGACCAGCCAAGGGCCAGCGGACAGAGGGAUGUGAUGAACAGCUUUCCACCCCACCUGCAGAGGGCCAGGCCCCGGCCACAGCGUUCUACCGGGAGAUUUCUCCAGGCCGUGUCUCUGGGACCACCAGAAUCAGCGAGCCCGAUUCACAGAAGACCAAACACAGGAGGAAAAAGAGCCCCUCAGCUCACCAAGUAAUUGGCCAGGGGUGUGGCAGAGGGCACCACCCUGGGCCCCCCCCUUGGAAGAAGGCUCCACAGCCAGCGUGGGGCUCCACACCGGGCCUCGCAGAGUCUCUGAAGCAGCCGUCCCAUCUCUGCCCGGUGGGUCUGCUGGUCUGCUCAGGGGGGUGAAAUCAGGCGCCCUCAUGGGGCGAUGCUUCCUAGGAGCUCAUCCAAGUGUCCCCACCCUCUGGCCUCACAAUUCCACAGUGAAAGCACCGCCCAAGGAAACAGCCAUAACCCGGAGCAGUUCCUGGCAGCGUGCUUGUAAUGGUCAAAAAUGAGAAAGACUAAAGUGGCCAGCAGCAGGAGAGGGUUAUACAUGUGCAGUGCGAAUCCCAUGCAGACAUUACACCUGUUGUUUGCAUGACCUUCUCCUCUGGGUGGGGGGGACAAACUUCUGACGAGCCUUUAGGGAGAAGUCACGGCAUCACAGCAGUGUAUAGGGCACGAAGCAAAAACCCGGACCCUGCAGUCAGAAUCCUUCUUCUCUGCCUCUUUCUCACUAGGCGUGAGCCUGGGUUUGUCAGCCUCUUGGAGCUUCAGGUUGUACAUCUAUAAAAUGAAGUGACGCUGCCUCCCUUCCAAGGCUAGACCGGGGAAACCAAUGAUUCAGGGAAGCCCGGGGUCGGGGGGUGGGGUGUUCAGAACCCAGUAAAGGUGACGAGACAGCAGCUUCGACCCAUCCAAUCCACGUGUGGGAAGGGCGGGGAUGAAAGGUACCCAGUGGUUGCCUCUGGGUACAUGGGUUCUCACUGCUGUACCUUUCCUGUUUUAUCUCGGUUUUCUCUAAAGACCGGAAUGUACUUGGAAAGCGGGGCCGAAGAACUUUAUUUUCACUUAAUGCGUAUUUCCGGCGGAGGCACCCCAGGC
ensembl:lncRNA